GAUGAACGCUGACAGAAUGCUUAACACAUGCAAGUCUUUGGCGAAGCUGUGCUUGCACAGCCUAGCCAAGGCGGACGGGUGAGUAACGCGUAAGGAACUUGCCCUGCAAUCAGGGAUAACAGACGGAAACGACUGAUAAGACCUGGUAAAGUCAGGCGGACUCAUGUCCAGCCUGAUGAAAAGAGAUGCUGCAGGAGAGCCUUGCGUCCUAUUAGCUUGUUGGUGGGGUAACGGCCCACCAAGGCGAUGAUAGGUAGCCGGCCUGAGAGGGUGGACGGCCACAAGGGGACUGAGAGACGGCCCUUACUCCUACGGGAGGCAGCAGUGGGGAAUAUUGGACAAUGGGGGCAACCGUGAUCCAGCAAUUCUGUGUGCACGAUGAAGGUUUUCGGAUUGUAAAGUGCUUUCAGCAGGGAAGAAAAAAUGACGGUACCUGCAGAAGAAGCGACGGCUAAAUACGUG
rnacentral:rRNA from 1 species